UUGUUUAAUUUAACUUGUUCUCAGACUUCAAUUUUCUAGGCAGGGUUGGCUAAUUCCGGCAGGCGGGGGCCCCCCGCGAACGGGGGGCGGUCCCCGCCAGGCGCCGAAUCCGGGCCGCGGUUACAAAGGGUGGGGAUUGUGCCCGGAAGCGUUAACCCAUUAAUGAUCCUUCCGCAGGUUCACCUACGGAAA
rnacentral:misc_RNA from 1 species